AGCUUUGUGCAAUGCAAUAUCUUAGCCAAUGAGGUUUAUCCAAGGUGCGAUUAUUGCCAAUUGAGAACUUUUCCCAAUACUCUGCUGCAAUGAUUUGCAAUGUAGUUGGCACCGGCAAUUUUUGACAGUCUCUAUGGAGA
rnacentral:snRNA from 1 species